GCGUCCGUGGUCUAGGGGUUUUAUGAUCCAUCCUUCCCAUUUGAAGACAGAGGAUGGGACCCGGGUUCGAGUCCCGGCGAAUGUA